CGCCUUGUCGGACCCCUGAGAAGCCCCCACCGCCUCCGUGCUCCUACUGCGGCCGCCAGCGCCGGGCCCGCAGUGAGGAGGAGAACCUCAUUUUCCUCAACACAGAUCUAAGGGGACACCGCCUCACUUUGAGACAACUUGAGGCUGCGUCAGUGCUCUUUCUCUUCAAACUUCUUUAACAUGCCUUGGCUUAGUUGUUCUGCUUGAUUUUCCAAAAGAAGAACCUUCUCUGGAUAAGGCAGAGGAUAGUGAAGGGAGGAUUUAACCUUGUACUGUUGUUAUACAAUUCAAUAUUGAAGCGAGAGAUUCUCCAGAACUUGCCCAGAAGCCAAGACGUCUGGAAAGGAUCUCAGCCUCUGUCAGCCUGCAGCUUGGGAAGAGUGAUUCACAGAGCCUGACUGUCCACUGCUGCUAAACCAUACACUGGCCUUGGCUCACACAUCUGACUGAACUGUCUCCUAUGACUAACUGCCUCUCUUUCUUCAGCCUUGCAAGUUUCCUGGGAGUCCUGGGAGUGGACUUCACAUAUAAAAGGGGACUCUGGGAGACCUAGUUCCUGGCUUCUCUUCUGGAAGUCAGGGAAGAGUAUAGGAAGGAGUGGCCACAGUGCCCAACUGACAAUUGACAAUUUCACCAAAGAUCAUCAUUGACCCUGACAAGACUCAUUUCGGUAUAUAAUAUGGGAAAAGAAACCAGACUGCAACAGGCUGAGAAUGACCCAGGGAAGAGAAAACGGAGAAAUUAACUGCAGCUGAGUUUCUGGAGGACUGCAAUUUAGUAUGUUCAAAGAAUAGUCCAAGAAGCCGCUCCGGACCCUCAGCAUUAAGACGAAGGAGGGGGCAAACAGGUGAGAAAAUCGAGGCAACAAGAGGUUGGUUAACGUGCCCAAGAUCAGAUCGCACAGCGGUAUAAUAGGAUGGAAAACUCCUAUCACAUAAUGAACGUUAAGUGAAAAAAAUUAGUAUCCAAAACUACACCCACACAGAGAAAAUGGCCACAUGAAGACAGAGAAAUGGACUGAUGCAUCUGCAAGCCAAGGAGUGCCAAAGACUGUCAGCAAACGACUUAAAGACAAGAAGAAGCAGUGAAAGAGCCUUCCCCUCCAGGUUGCAGAUGAAGCGCAACCCUGCUGACACCUUGAUUUUCAGACUUCCGGCCUCCAGAGCUGAGACAAUACAUUUGUGUUGCUCUAAGCCACCUAGUUUAUGGAACUUUGUUGGGUGGCCCUACAAACUAAUGCAGCCUAUGUAU
rnacentral:lncRNA from 1 species